AAGAUAUUUGUUUGCCCCGAACCCUCUUUUAUUUAAGGAAUUAUCUCUUUUAUCUGCAUUUAGUCUUGUAUUAUUUUUUUGAUGCAGACAACUAGAGUUGACUAUUUCCAAUCCAAUGCAUUCUUUUAAUUUUUUUUUUUUUUUUUUGUAUGAUCACUAUUUCUUUCUAAAUUUGUUCAUGAACCUUUCUUCCUGCUACAAAUUGUGACAGAGGCCCAAAUUCUUUAUGGCAAACGGAAAAAUCUACCAGGCAAUUAAUUUGGAUACUUUAAGGGCUCAGAACAUGGAAACUUGUCCAUUUUUCAGUCAGGAUAUCAAGAGGCAACGAGGGAAACCUGUUCAUUUUAAGAAUGGUAGAUCCAUCCUACAGAGGUCCUCUUUAAUGUAGCUGUUGCGGGAACUUUUGUCAAGGCAGUUGAAUUGUGAAGGUACUUAUCAAUUUAUAGAUCAAAUUUUGUUGUAUAUGUAGAAUAUGUGGAUGUACCUUGUCAUACAUUUUUAAAGCAUAAUCAAUAUGCAUUUUUGUCACAGGCUUGAAAAGCUUCCAUAAUUUAAA